rnacentral:rRNA from 1 species
AGUAGUUUGACUCGUGCUACGAGAGACGCUGGCGGCGUGCUUCAUACAUGCAAGUCGAACGAGAAUCUAGCUUCGGUUAGAGGAAAGUGGCGGACGGGUGAGUAAUGUGUAGAGAAUCUGCCCUGGAGAGGGGGACAACAGAGGGAAACUCCUGCUAAUACCCCAUAUGCGCGUAGUUGAGAUACUAUUCGUGAAAGAUUUAUCGCUCCAGGAUGAGUCUGCAUCUGAUUAGCUAGUUGGGGGUGUAAUGGACCACCAAGGCGACGAUCAGUAGCUGGUUUGAGAGGAUGAUCAGCCACAAUGGGACUGAGACACGGCCCAUACUCC